rnacentral:rRNA from 1 species
GGAAAUCUCACCAGGCCCGGACACUGGAAGGAUUGACAGAUUGAUAGCUCUUUCUUCAGUGGGUGGUGGUGCAUGGCCGUUCUUAGUUGGUGGAGUGAUUUGUCUGGUUAAUUCAGUUAACGAACGAGACCUUAACCUGCUAAAUAGUGACGCGGUUCAUCGAACCGUGGGCCACUUCUUAGAGGGACUAUCGGAUUCAAACCGAUGGAAGUGUGAGGCAAUAA